GAAAAUUUGCUCUUUUAGUAUUUGUCUAGAAGGCUUCUUCAGUUGAAGAAGCCCCC
ensembl:snRNA U7 U7 small nuclear RNA